GCUACAAGAUCAACAAUUCCAUAAGCUUGGGCUUCGGUUGCUGACAUAAAAACAUCUCUUUCCAUGUCUUCGGAUACAACCCAUAAGGGUUUGCCCGUUCUUUGUGCAUAAAUCCUUGUGAGGAUUUCGCGCAGUUUCAGUAGUUCUUCCGCUUCCAGGACAAAUUCUCCUAUUUGUGCCUCAUAAAAACCAGCAAUAGGUUGAUGAAUCAUUACCCUAGCAUGAGGGAAUGCUAAACGUUUGGUAAUUUUUCCUCCGACCAGAAUAAAAGAUCCCAUUGAAGCAGCUAAUCCCAUGCAUACUGUUUGUACAUCGGGUCGCACAAAUUGCAUAGUAUCAUAAAUAGCUAUUCCGGGUAUUACCCAUCCGCCGGGAGAGUUUAUAAACAAAUACAAAUCUUUUGUC
rnacentral:misc_RNA from 1 species